AGUGGGGGACAACGUUUCAAAAGGAACGCUAAUACCGCAUACGUCCUACGGGAGAAAGCAGGGGACCUUCGGGCCUUGCGCUAAUAGAUGAGCCUAGGUCGGAUUAGCUAGUUGGUGAGGUAAAGGCUCACCAAGGCAACGAUCCGUAACUGGUCUGAGAGGAUGAUCAAUCACACUGGAACUGAGACACGGUCCAGACUCCUACGGGAGGCAGCAGUGGGGAAUAUUGGACAAUGGGCGAAAGCCUGAUCCAGCCAUGCCGCGUGUGUGAAGAAGGUCUUCAGAUUGUAAAGCACUUUAAGUUGGGAGGAAGGGCAGUAAGUUAAUACCUUGCUGUUUUGACGUUACCGACAGAAUAAGCACCGGCUAACUUCGUGC
rnacentral:rRNA from 1 species